rnacentral:rRNA from 1 species
CCUGACUGCUAUCGGAUUGAUACUAAGCCAUGCUAGUCUUUGUAGUAAUACAAGGCAUACGGCUCAGUAACGCGUAGUCAACCUACCCUAUGGACGGGGAUAAUCUCGGGAAACUGAGCAUAAUACCCGGUAGACCACUUCUCCUGGAAUGGUUAGUGGUUAAAAUGAUUCGUCGCCAUAGGAUGGGACUGCGGCCUAUCAGCUUGUUGGUGAGGUAAUGGCCCACCAAGGCGAUUACAGGUACGGGCUCUGAGAGGAGAGGCCCGGAGAUGGGUACUGAGACAAGGACCCAGGCCCUAUGGGGCGCAGCAGGCGAGAAAACUUUGCAAUGUGCGAAAGCACGACAAGGUUAAUCCGAGUGAUUUCUGCUAAAGGAAUCUUUUGUUAGUUCUAAAAAUACUAGUGAAUAAGGGGUGGGCAAGUUCUGGUGUCAGCCGCCGCGGUAAAACCAGCACCUCAAGUGGUCAGGAGGAUUAUUGGGCCUAAAGCAUCCGUAGCCUGUUCUAUAAGUUUGCGGUUAAAUCUAUACGCUCAACGUAUAGGCUGCCGUAAAUACUGUAGAACUAGGGAGUGGGAGAGGUAGACGGUACUCGAUAGGAAGGGGUAAAAUCCUUUGAUCUAUUGAUGACCACCUGUGGCGAAGGCGGUCUACCAGAACACGUUCGACGGUGAGGGAUGAAAGCUGGGGGAGCAAACCGGAUUAGAUACCCGGGUAGUCCCAGCUGUAAACGAUGCAGACUCGAUGAUGCAAUGGCAUAGAGCUAUUGCAGUAUCGCAGGGAAGCCGUUAAGUCUGCCGCCUGGGAAGUACGUACGCAAGUAUGAAACUUAAAGGAAUUGGCGGGGGAGCACCACCAAGGGGUGAAGCCUGCGGUUC